rnacentral:ncRNA from 1 species
UUACUUUCGUGCCGCAUUGGUUCUUAACAUAGAUUUCACAUAUGUUAGGAUUAAUAGGGAAUUAGGUGAAAAUCCUGAGCAGUCCCGCUACUGUAAGUUCUAUACCAAACACUUGAACCAUCUUUUGCCACUGUUUUUAGUGAAUAAAACGGGAAGGCCGCGUCAAGUGAGAACAAGCCAGGAGACCUGCCACUGCGUAUAAAUUUUU